GACGAACGCUGGCGGCGUGCCUAAUACAUGCAAGUCGAACGCUUCUUUCCUCCCGAGUGCUUGCACUCAAUUGGAAAGAGGAGUGGCGGACGGGUGAGUAACACGUGGGUAACCUACCCAUCAGAGGGGGAUAACACUUGGAAACAGGUGCUAAUACCGCAUAACAGUUUAUGCCGCAUGGCAUAAGAGUGAAAGGCGCUUUCGGGUGUCGCUGAUGGAUGGACCCGCGGUGCAUUAGCUAGUUGGUGAGGUAACGGCUCACCAAGGCCACGAUGCAUAGCCGACCUGAGAGGGUGAUCGGCCACACUGGGACUGAGACACGGCCCAGACUCCUACGGGAGGCAGCAGUAGGGAAUCUUCGGCAAUGGACGAAAGUCUGACCGAGCAACGCCGCGUGAGUGAAGAAGGUUUUCGGAUCGUAAAACUCUGUUGUUAGAGAAGAACAAGGACGUUAGUAACUGA
rnacentral:rRNA from 1 species